rnacentral:rRNA from 1 species
CCGCGGUAAUUCCAGCUCUCAAAAUGCAUAGAAUUAUUGCUGCGGUUAAAAAGCUCGUAGUUGGAUCUGUGCCGACAGACUGGUCCAUCUUCGGAUGCGUACUGGUUAUUGUCGGCUUUCCUGCAGUUUUGCGGCUCAGUGCCUCUCACGGGGUGCAGUGUCCGUUGCUGCAAGUUUACUUUGAACAAAUCAGAGUGCUCUAAACAGGCGUUUCGCUUGAAUGUUCGUGCAUGGAAUAAUAGAAGAGGAUUUCGGUUCUAUUUUAUUGGUUUUAUAGACUGAGAUAAUGGUUAACAGAGACAAACGGGGGCAUUCGUAUUGCUACGUGAGAGGUGAAAUUCUUGGACCGUAGCAAGACGAACUACAGCGAAAGCAUUUGCCAAGAAUGUCUUCAUUAAUCAAGAACGAAAGUCAGAGGUUCGAAGGCGAUCAGAUACCGCCCUAGUUCAAACCGUAAA